rnacentral:rRNA from 1 species
UACGAAGGGGGCUAGCGUUGUUCGGAUUUACUGGGCGUAAAGCGCACGUAGGUGGAUAGUUAAGUGAGGGGUGAAAUCCCGAGGCUCAACCUCGGAACUGCCUUUCAUACUGGCUGUCUUGAGUUCGGAAGAGGUGAGUGGAAUUCCUAGUGUAGAGGUGAAAUUCGUAGAUAUUAGGAAGAACACCGGUGGCGAAGGCGGCUCACUGGUCCGAUACUGACACUGAGGUGCGAAAGCGUGGGGAGCAAACGGG